rnacentral:rRNA from 1 species
UACGGAGGGUGCGAGCGUUGUCCGGAAUCACUGGGCGUAAAGGGCGCGUAGGCGGCUGGGGAAGUCGGCGGUGAAAGCCCGGAGCUCAACUCCGGGUCGGCCGUCGAGACUCCUCGGCUCGAGCUCACUAGAGGCAGAUGGAAUUCCGGGUGUAGCGGUGGAAUGCGUAGAGAUCCGGAAGAACACCGGUGGCGAAGGCGGUCUGCUGGGGUGAGGCUGACGCUGAGGCACGAAAGCCAGGGGAGCGAACGGG